AACGAACGCUGGCGGCAUGCCUAAUACAUGCAAGUCGAACGAGAGCUUCGGGUCUUUUGGCGCAUGGGGUUGUCACGGGAGGGAACCUUCCCUUAGGGUCGGCAUAACUCUCCGAAAGGGGUGCUAAUACGGGAUAAUGUCUUCUGACCAAAGAUUUAUCGCCUUUGGAUGGUCCCGCGUUGGAUUAGCUAGUUGGUAGGGUAAAAGCCUACCAAGGCGACGAUCCAUAGCUGGUUUGAGAGGAUGAUCAGCCACACUGGGACUGAGACACGGCCCAGACUCCUACGGGAGGCAGCAGUGGGGAAUAUUGGACAAUGGGCGAAAGCCUGAUCCAGCAAUGCCGCGUGAGUGAUGAAGGCCUUAGGGUUGUAAAGCUCUUUUACCCGGGAUGAUAAUGACAGUACCGGGAGAAUAAGCUCCGGCUAACUCCGUG
rnacentral:rRNA from 1 species